rnacentral:rRNA from 1 species
GCUCCGCUGACGAGUGGCGAACGGGUGAGUAAUAUAUCGGAACGUACCAUUGAGUGGGGGAUAACGUAGCGAAAGUUGCGCUAAUACCGCAUAUUCUCUCCGGAGGAAAGCAGGGGACCGCAAGGCCUUGCGCUCAUUGAGCGGCCGAUAUCAAAUUAGCUAGUUGGUGGGGUAAAAGCUCACCAGGGCGACGAUCUGUACCGGGUCUGAGAGGAUGAUCCCCCACACUGGAACUGUAACCGGUCCAAACUCCUACGAAGGAAGCAGGGGGUUUUUUUGACAUUGGAGCACCCUGAUC